rnacentral:tRNA from 1 species
GCGACCGUAGUUUAGUGGCAGAACGGUUGCUUCCCAAGCAACAGGUGCGAGUUCGAUUCUCGCCGGUCGCA